rnacentral:rRNA from 1 species
GCACUGCCCGGUAGCUAAAUGCGGAAGAGAUAAGUGCUGAAAGCAUCUAAGCACGAAACUUGCCCCGAGAUGAGUUCUCCCUGAGACUAUAAGUCUCCUGAAGGAACGUUAAAGACGAUGACGUUGAUAGGCCGGGUGUGUAAGCGCAGCGAUGCGUUGAGCUAACCGGUACUAAUGAACCGUGAGGCUUAACCUUACAACGCCGAAG